GACGAACCGCCCAAACGUUAUUCGGAAUCACUGGGCUUAAAGGGUGCGUAGGCGGCACGGAAAGUUGGGUGUGAAAUCCCUCGGCUCAACCGAGGAACUGCGCCCAAAACUAUCGUGCUAGAGGGAGAUAGAGGUAAGCGGAACUGAUGGUGGAGCGGUGAAAUGCGUUGAUAUUAUCAGGAACACCGGUGGCGAAGGCGGCUUACUGGAUCUCUUCUGACGCUGAGGCACGAAAGCUAGGGGAGCGAACGGG
rnacentral:rRNA from 1 species